ACGCACAAACAGCUGUGCUGCCGCCGGAACAACGGACACUCUUACAGAGGUCCUCUGCGCACCUCACCUCCCUCAAGCGAGCACGAACUCUGCAGCGCGACGUCGCCCUCUCCCCCUCUCCGCCGCUCACGCAGAUUCAACGUUAGCCGAGCGGCUCUCCGUGUCCAUGCCCAAACUGUCGAGCAGCAAGGCAAAGGUGGCAGCCGCAGCGGCGAGCGGGCCACCAGCGCUGUACGGCGAAGACCUCAGCGGUCCACCGCUGGUUGUGGAGGUCACCGCACCGUCAGUGUGGACAGCGACAGCCGGCGCCGAUGCCUCCAGUAACGAGGAGUGCUUGACAGGUGGCGCGCGGUGGGGCCACGCGGCAAUGCUGUCGCCUAGUGAGUCCGUGCUCUGCAUCGUUGGCGGCGCUCCGUGCCAACGACCACACGCCGCGGAGCAGGCCCCAGCCCCGCUAUGGGAGUACACGUCGGUGGCUCCAUCGAGGGUGCCGACAGCCAUGAGCGCCUCCGCAAUGAAAGCGCCCGUUGCUGCUGCGCGCGCAUGGAAGGCGGGAGCGGCACGGCGGGCAGCGCGGCAGGAUGCGAUCCGCGGUGCGAACGCCGGCGCUGCGGAAGACCACGACUGGCCGCUUUUUGCCUCCUGGUGGGCCUCAUGGCCGUCGGGCAACGGCGCCGACGGGCCGGCAGUGAUGUACGCCGACGGUGGCUGGAGUGGCGCUUGUCGUAUUGCCGGAGUGCGUGCGUUCGCGGACAGCGCCAACGGAGACCCCAGCUUCACGCUCCCACCGUCAUCUGCAGCGGGUACCAGCAGCACCCGCAGCCACCAUAGCGUCACGUGUGUGCUGGGUCGGCUACUCCGCUUCGGAGGCGAGACGCAGCAAGGCACCGCCGCAGCGCUGGAGGAGAUUGACGGCGCGUCUGGGAGCUUGGAUGAGAAGCAGCAGGCUGACGGGGAGCACAGAAACGCCGAGGGUAGAGAAGUAGCAGUUCCCGAGCCUACGAGCACGACACCCAGGUUGCAGCCGGCCCUUGGUCCGCCGCCGCCGCGGGCCGCUCACGGCGCGUGCAGCCUCAGCCAACGAUACAUUGUGAUUGUGGGUGGCCGACAAGUCCACACGCAAGCGGACGACGUCAGUGCAGUGGCCGCCGGCGCCUCGGCUGGCAAGGGGGCACGCGCGAAGAAGACUACCGCGAUGCGCGCGUUGUCACCGGGUAAGCGUGGUGGCGCAUCUGGGAAGGAUGGGAAGGGCUCCUCUGCCGCUCUCGAGGCGUCUGUCCCCGCGUCCGCAACGCUCACCACGCUGAAGGAUGUAGCCGUCUAUGAUGCCAAGCUUGGCGCGUGGCUUCCGGUGCGUGUGGUGGGAGGCGGCGCGGUACCCUGCGCGCGGUACGCAGCGGCUGUCGCAGCAGUGCCGAUGCCUGGUGCCGCCCCACCGACAAGCCGCCACCGCAGCCCCGUCGCGGAUGCUGUGCAGCGCGAGGUGCUGGUCGUCGGCGGCCUCGACGCCGAAGGUGCCGUAUGCGCUGAUGCGUGGCUGAUGCAGGUAAUGAGCGGCGCCGACGCAGAGCUUGCAGAGGUGCCUGCUGGCACGCUGGCGGACAGCGCGAGCACGGCGGUGCCAGUGGUGAAGAUUCGCUGGGUUCGGCUGGAGUUACCGAAGGCGGCGGCUUCUGUGUUUCAGCGCCACCACGCUGCCGUGGCUGUCUCAAGUCAGCGCAUUAUGUACCUCGUUGGGGGCUGCGGGCCGCAUGGCGCAGCAGAGCCGUGCGCUUGCACGCUGCAGCUGCCACCCCUGACAAGCGCGUCGGUGCGACUCGCUGACGAGGCGGGCGGGGACGCAGAGGGCGCGGUGCCGAAGCGGCCAUCCGCAAACGCCAAGGGUCUCACGGCAUAAACUGGAAAAUAUGAGCGUGAUACCGUGCUGCUGCUGCUGCUGCUACUGCCACAGUUGGUGGGGGGUGGAGGGGAUGGCGGCGUCGGUCAAGGUGGAGGUAUGGUGCGCCACGCCAGUGGCUCGGUCCAUGGACCGUCCUGUCGGAGCAUCACCCCGCUGAGCCCCCUGAUUCGCUUCCCCGUUUGUGAUGGCCGUUCUCCCACCGCCCUCCCACCCCCUUCGCUACUCGCUUCACGUGCACCGAGUGUUUUCACACGCGUAUGAGCCCACGUGCGUCUCUGUGCGUGCAUCGGCUUCGAUGUCUCCGAGGUGCGAGCGCCCUCGGCGCGCGCUCGUUUCUCCCUUGCGCUGCAACAUGUACAAAUAGUGCGUGCGCGUCGUUUCUUCCGUUACUUCUUACGAUGAGGGCGGGUGGGUGGUGGCGGGCGACACGUGCACGCGUCGCACCAACAUCGCCGCUGACGGCAUGUGCGACGGACCUGCUCCUUUCGCGGAGCAAGGGAGGAAAGAGGGGGGAAAACCCACCCACCCACCCACCCCCUCCCGGCGUGACGGAGAGAACAAAGGGCGGGUGAGGAUGGAGGAUGGAGCGAAUAGAGAGGGGAUGGUUGCGAGGCUGGUGGCGAUGUUUCCACUCGGUAACGGCACCGCGGCGAGUCACGGAUUUCACUGCCUUCGCUUCGACCCCUUCUCUCUUCGCUGUCGCUCACGCCCCACCCACUUCACGGUCGCCGUGCGCGUUUUGUUUGCCGUUCACAUCUCGCCCAUCCCCCACCCUCAAUAUGGCCCAUCGGGCACACCCGCAUACAUCUGCGCACGCGUGCUGUGCAAGUACUUAUCAAUGUGACCAGCCCCUCCCCUCUCCUCUCCUCCUACGUAGACGCGUACGCCUGGAGGGGCCUUGAAAGCAUCGCGUGGCCCAUCCUCAGUCUUUCUCUGCCCUCUAUCCCGCCUGCACGUCUUCGCCAAG
rnacentral:misc_RNA from 1 species